GACCCGGGAUCGCCCCCCGUCAGCGAGGUUUCGCCCGCGGGGGCCGUUG
rnacentral:sRNA from 1 species